AUACAUAUGGGCGUGUUCGCAUGUAUGGAACAUGUGUAACUCCAUCUCAAGUGUUUGGUAACUCAAAAACUUCUGAGACUAUUGAAAAGAAGACAAUUGAGGAAAUGGAAAAGAAAUACCAAACAAAGCUAGAUGAUCUCAAAGAAAGCCAUGAAUCUCAAUUGGGAGACAUGAAAUUAAAGUACGAAGAUGUGUCGAAUUGUCUCAAUCUUUUGAUGGCACAUGUUGGUAUCCAAGUAAACCAAAGUGGAAGUACAAGUGAACAGCAAUUAAGGCGUACUAUAGAUGGCCAUCAUCAAUUGGAUUUGGAAGGGCAGCAGUAAUUAGCCUCGUCUACAAACACAAAUUCAUUAUGAACCGUAAGGUUGGAGAAAUAUCUAGGUUAUUAUGGUGAAAGUACAAGAUGCUACUCUAAAUUUUACAAUUAGCAUGCUACUCUAAACUCGAUCAUUUUAUUUGGUAUUUCAACUACAUAUGUACUAGCUAUUGUAUUCGCACAGUAUUUGACUUUGUAUGACUAGAUAUUUGUUAUACAAUUAUUAUAUAUAUUUACUCUUUCA